AACGCACAUUGCGCCCCUUGGUAUUCCAUGGGGCAUGCCUGUUCGAGCGUCAUUUAAACCUUCAAGCCUUGCUUGGUGUUGGGUGAUUGUCCCCGUUAUCGUGCGGACUCGCCUGAAUUGAAUUGGCAGUCGUCUAUCUGGCUUUGAGCGCAGCACAUUUUGCGACUCUUACCAUGAGAGGUGGCAUCCAUAAAGCGCCUAUACUUAUUUUGACCUCGGAUCAGGUAGGGAUACCCGCUGAACUUAA
rnacentral:misc_RNA from 1 species